GAAUAUUGGACAAUGGGGGCAACCCUGAUCCAGCCAUGCCGCGUGAGUGAUGAAGGCCUUCGGGUUGUAAAGCUCUUUUGGCGGGGACGAUGAUGACGGUACCCGCAGAAUAAGCCCCGGCUAACUUCGUGCCAGCAGCCGCGGUAAGACGAAGGGGGCUAGCGUUGUUCGGAAUUACUGGGCGUAAAGCGAGUGUAGGUGGUUGUCAUAGUCAGGCGUGAAAGCCUUGAGCUCAACUCAAGAAAUGCGCUUGAUACUGGGCAGCUAGAGGACCGGAGAGGAUAGUGGAAUUCCCAGUGUAGUGGUGAAAUACGUAGAGAUUGGGAAGAACACCAGUGGCGAAGGCGGCUAUCUGGACGGUUUCUGACACUAAGACUCGAAAGCGUGGGGAGCAAACAG
rnacentral:rRNA from 1 species